rnacentral:misc_RNA from 1 species
GGCGGAAGCGGUCGUGACCGGCCCUCCGCCUCCGGGCAGAGGUGCGGAUCUGGUUAACGAGGAAGCAAAGAUGGAAAUAAAGAAGAUUCCACACGCCGUCAUAAAAAAUGUGCGAUGCCGACGACUUUGCAUGAAACACCUCCCACGGUCCGCGCCCGGCGAACCCGAGGACAAGAUACCUCUGGAAAAUAGGAGCCGCAAGAUAGGAUCGAGGAAUGCGGAC